rnacentral:misc_RNA from 1 species
AAUUCUCAACUCUCCAAUACUUUUGCGGUAAAGGAGGGCUUGGAUUGUGGGGGUGUGCUGGCCACUUUGUGAGGCCAGCUCCCCUGAAAUGCAUUAGCGGAACCGUUUGCGAUCUGCCACAAGUGUGAUAACUAUCUACACUAGCGAGGGGAUUGCUCUGUGUUGUUCAGCUUCCAAUCGUCUGCAAAGACAAUUUUCUGAAU